UACGUAGGGUGCAAGCGUUUAAUCGGAAUUACUGGGCGUAAAGCGUGCGCAGGCGGUUUUGUAAGUCUGUCGUGAAAUCCCCGGGCUCAACCUGGGAAUUGCGAUGGAGACUGCAAGGCUAGAAUCUGGCAGAGGGGGGUAGAAUUCCACGUGUAGCAGUGAAAUGCGUAGAGAUGUGGAGGAACACCGAUGGCGAAAGGCAGCCCCCCUGGGUCAAGAUUGACGCUCAUGC
rnacentral:rRNA from 1 species